rnacentral:rRNA from 1 species
AACACAUAGCAAGUCGAGGGGCGAGCACAAGGAGCAAUCUGAGGUGGCGACCGGCGCACGGGUGAGUAACACGUAUGCAACCUGCCUGUAAGCGGGGAAGUAACCCGUUGAAAGACGGACUAAUACCGCAUAAUACUAAAUUACUGCAUGGUAAUUUAUUUAAACAUUUAUGGCUUACAGAUGGGCAUGCGCAUGAUUAGCUAGUUGGAGAGGUAACGGCUCCCCAAGGCAACGAUCAUUAGGGGUUCUGAGAGGAAGGUCCCCCGCACUGGUACUGAGACACGGACCAGACUCCUACGGGAGGCAGCAGUGAGGAAUAUUGGUCAAUGGACGAGAGUCUGAACCAGCCAAGUCGCGUGCAGGAAGAAUGUCCUUAAUGGAUUGUAAACUGCUUUUGCAGGGGAGUAAAGUGCAUCACGUGUGAUGUUUUGUAUGUACUCUGCGAAUAAGGAUCGGCUAACUCCGUGCCAGCCGCAGC